rnacentral:misc_RNA from 1 species
UUUCCGUAGGUGAACCUGCGGAAGGAUCAUUAUUGUAUAACCGAGGUGCGAGGGCUGUCGCUGACCCGAAAGGUCGUGCACGCCCGAGUGCCCUCACACACAUCCAUCUCACCCCUAUGUGCACCACCGCGUGGGUCCCCCUUUGGCUUGUUCGGAGGGGGGCUUACGUUUUCACACAAACUUUGUAUGCAGUGUAGAAUGUAUUUUUUGUUUUUGCGAUCACGCAAUCAAUACAACUUUCAACAACGGAUCUCUUGGCUCUCGCAUCGAUGAAGAACGCGC